rnacentral:rRNA from 1 species
GACGAACGCUGGCGGCGUGCUUAACACCUGCAAGUCGAACGAAGUGGCGAACGGGUGAGUAACGCGUAAUAAACCUGCCCUUCAGAGGGGGACAACAGUUGGAAACGACUGCUAAUACCGCAUACUGAAGGACGGGAUUGCUUCUGAUUAGCUAGUUGGAGGGGUAACGGCCCCACAAGUCGAUGAUCAGUAGCCGGUUGGAGAGGAGGAACGGCAAAAUUGGGACUGAGACACGGCCCAGACUCAUACGGGAUGCAGCAGUGGGGAAUCUUCCGCAAUGGAAGAAAGUCUGACGGAGCAACGCCGCGGGAGUGAUGACGGCCUUCGGGUUGUAAAGCUCUGUUAAUCGGGACGCGGUACCGGAAUAGAAAGCCACGGCUAAAUACGUGCCAGCAGCCGCGGUAAUAC